rnacentral:lncRNA from 1 species
UGGCUUGAGGUCUGCGGUGCUGACCAAGAGAGCAUUGGUUAGAUUGGGUACUUUUGGACUUCUUGACCGGUUGACGCAUAUGUCUAUAGUAGCAGUCGUUGCAUGCAUACUUACAGUUCUUACUUUAUAGUUGUCUUGCUGCUAUAGUAGAUAUUCAUGUAUGCUUUCGGUUCCAGUUACAGUAGCGGUAGCCGUUAUUCAGUCUAGUUCUUACUUUCUUUCAGUUUAUUGCUACUGUAUUCGGUAUAUCUGCUCUUUACCUUACUAUUGUUGCUACUAUAUUUCCACUGACCCUUGUUGUUAUUUAGCUCUUCCUGAUCCGGUGAGUACUCCUCGCCUUCAUCGGCUUGCGGUACCCACUGGGAGGGGAGACAUGUUUACAUGUUCUCACCUCCCCAACUAUUUUUCAGGUAUCGCGGGCGGUGAGGGUUGAGACGAGACGUGAGACAUGUACGUAGCGGUCAAUAGAUCUUCUGACCCAGGUUAUUCGGCUUAGCUUUUACCCUUAUUAUUUCUGUUGAUAUAUAGUUUAGUCGGUUUAUAUGGUUCAGUAUUUUUAUUACUUUGGAAAAUGUGGAUUUCUGGAUUUUGUAAAAUAAAAGGUUUUCUACCCCUCGUGGUAGCGUUUUUAAAAGAGAAAAGUUCCCGUGUAGGGAAUAGUUUUCAAAAGAUUUUCUGUGGAUUUUGUAUCUUAGUAUUUCAAAACCUGUUUCUGAGUUGGAAACAUUUUAACUGAUAGAUGUGGAUUUAUGUUUAAAUAUUGAAUAUAUAAAUGUGAACCUGUGAUGUGAAUGGUGUAUGAAUAUAUAAUUGUUGGUUACUUGUAUGUUCAUUUGGUUGUGGUUGUACCUGGAUUGCUUCUUGUACUUGUGCGACGCCGUGCAAAUACAGGGGAGACUCUGUCCGUGUGCACAGUGGAUUCCCUGUAUUUGUGGCGGAUCUG